GCUAUAUCAGCCCACACCACACACACAACUCACAUAUUCACACACACAACACCUAAAACACACACUACACACGCCAUUUUCCAUUUAAGCUUGGACGGAGCUUUUGACCUCCGAUUUGAGCACCGAGACGAGCGCCGAUCAUCUUUUCGAUCAUGUAUCUAAGUAGGUCCUUUUGGGAAGUAACGACUUGAGGGAGAGAGUGACGUUACUCAUUGAUACAGAGACACAACGAGGUUGAGCUGAUGUGAUGAUGGUGCUGCAAUGAGCGGAGUCUCCAGGGUUGUUAAUAAAUAGUUAACCUGUCUAGAAUAUGUCUUCAUACAUAUGUCUAGCUACUUUCCGCUGCAAGAUGUUGUUGAUGUUAUAGUAUGUUAUGUCAUACUUUGAGUCUUAAGAGAAUGGUUUCAUAUGAUGUAUAACUUGAUUAAUGAUAUUAAUUAAGUUUUAUGUUGUCUUUCA